GAUGAACGCUGGCGGCGUGCCUAAUACAUGCAAGUCGAGCGAACGGACGAGAAGCUUGCGUCUCUGAUGUUAGCGGCGGACGGGUGAGUAACACGUGGAUAACCUACCUAUAAGACUGGGAUAACUUCGGGAAACCGGAGCUAAUACCGGAUAAUAUUUUGAACCGCAUGGUUCAAAAGUGAAAGACGGUCUUGCUGUCACUUAUCGAUGGAUACGCGCUGCAUUAGCUAGUUGGUAAGGUAACGGCUUACCAAGGCAACGAUGCAUAGCCGACCUGAGAGGGUGAUCGGCCACACUGGAACUGAGACACGGUCCAGGCUCCUACGGGAGGCAGCAGUAGGGAAUCUUCCGCAAUGGGCGAAAGCCUUACGGAGCGGCGCCGCGUGAGUGAUGAAGGUCUUCGGAUCGUAAAGCUCUGUUAUUAGGGAAGAACAUAUGUGUAAGUAACUGUGCACAUCUUGACGGUACCUAAUCAGAAAGCCACGGCUAACUACGUG
rnacentral:rRNA from 1 species